ensembl:lncRNA
AUUAUUAUUUUUACUUUCAGUGCCCCACAACCUGAAGGCGGACAUUUUUAGAAUUACACUAAUAUAUAAUAAUUUAGAGGUCAGGUAAAUCAGAUAUAAUACAGUAGGCUUUAUAGAGUUAACUAGACACAGCAUCUUAAAUCUGUGGGCAAAAAAGUGUGUGAGACACAGCACAACAAUCAUAGACUUUCUAUUACUUUCUUUCUAUGCAUAACGUAAUAGGGUACAAUUGAGUACAGAAGAUGCUUUUGGAAGACUAUUCAUUUUUACAUGCAUCAUGACUAACCAGAGGAGACAGAUAUAAUGAUUGUUUGAUGGCAUAUUGAAAACACAUUCUUUUCACACUGAGCCAGAACACAACAAAUAACAUGUCAUGACAGCAGCAUACAGGAUUAGUUCAAAUCAUAAUUCUUAGUCCACAGGCAAAGAGGAUUCCACUGAGAUCAACACCUUUCUUUCAUAUAUGAGCUGUCAGCUGUCUUGUAAAUCUUUUAUGUCUAGCUUGAUCUUUAGCAUUUUGUUGGGUUUAAUGCCAGUCAAAACAAGUCGAUGACAGUUUCAUUUAAUAUAAAGCACAUUUGCUGAAGUCAGUCUUCUAUUAUUACAACCUGUCAUGAAUUUGUUAGUCACUGUCAGAAUUCUGCUUUAAAAAAAAUUAAAAAGAAGGCCAGCAAAAGUCAUGUGCACUCCACAUACACACACACACAAACACACACUUAUGAGCAUCUGUUCAGUGUUUGUUCAUUUAAAGCAGGAGGAUACAAAUGAAUUCUUCCUGUUGACCUACUUCCAGAGUAGGUUAUACAGAAAAACAGAUGCUAACAAGUGCAUUUGCACACCCAUAAAUGAAGUCUGAAUUAAAUAUGUAUUAAUACCCUACCUGAUAUUUGUUUGCAUUUCCAAAGUAAUGAACUAAAACCAGUACCUCAUCAAAAAUUCCCUGCCAGCGAUCUGUCGUCUGCAGUGUUUUUUCAGGGCUAAUAAUGAUAGAGUACACCUGCAGCUGG